GGUCACUGCUAUCGGUGUUCGAUUAAGCCAUGCGAGUCGUGAGGUAACUCGGCGGAGUGCUCAGUAACACGUGGACAACCUACCCAAGAGUCAGGGAUAACCCCGGGAAACUGGGGAUAAUACCUGAUAGGCCAUGACAUCUGGAAUCAGUUGUGGUUUAAACGUAAGGCUCUUGGAUGGGUCUGCGGCGGAUUAGGUUGUUGCUGGUGUAACGUACCAGCAAGCCUGUAAUCCGUACGGGUUGUGGGAGCAAGAGCCCGGAGAUGGAUUCUGAGACACGAAUCCAGGCCCUACGGGGCGCAGCAGGCGCGAAAACUCUACAAUGCAGGCAACUGCGAUAGGGGAACAUCGAGUGGCAUCCACCAUGGAUGUCUGUCCAAUCGUCUAAAAAAACGUUGUAGCAAGGGCCGGGCAAGACCGGUGCCAGCCGCCGCGGUAAUACCGGCGGCUCGAGUGGUGGCCGAUAUUAUUGAGUCUAAAGGGUCCGUAGCCGGCUUUGCAAGUCCUAUGGGAAAUCCAGCGGCUUAACCGUUGGGCUUUCAUGGGAUACUACAUUGCUUGGGACUGGGAGAGGUAGGAGGUACUCAGGGGGUAGGGGUGAAAUCCUGUAAUCCUUUGGGGACCACCGGUGGCGAAGGCGUCCUACCAGAACAGGUCCGACGGUGAGGGACGAAAGCUAGGGGCACGAACCGGAUUAGAUACCCGGGUAGUCCUAGCCGUAAACGAUGCUCGCUAGGUGUCACGGCAGUCGUGAAUUGUCGUGGUGCCGUAGGGAAGCCGUGAAGCGAGCCACUUGGGAAGUACGACCGCAAGGUUGAAACUUAA
rnacentral:rRNA from 1 species